rnacentral:lncRNA from 8 species
AUGACCAUUUUCGUGGUAUUGCUUUGUGCACUGACUUUAACGAGAUCUGGAGAAAACGAACAUUGUCGCUGGGUGAGUACAUCUGACAAUGUGCUCUCCCGUCCACUGGACAUUUUGUUUGCAGGAACUCGCUCCUUUUCACUCGUUCCACUCGUCCAAGUGCCGAUGUAUUUGUGGCAUUAUGUGAACAUUACGAAUUUGUGUCACUACCAAAGUCUAAUGGUUUUAAAUGACUGUUUUGUAUUGUCUGGAAACUCACUUGUAGACUUCGCUUGCAGUAGGUCUCUUAAAAAAGAGAAGCCGUGCAUAGUUAUUAAACAGAGGUGCCUAGUUAUUCUUCUAUUGUUGAUAUCAGGUAACGUGCAGCCUAACCCUGGCCCUGAUAUGCAAUGUCUCCAAACCCCCUCUGAUUUUAAAUCAAGAUCUGGUCUUGGUAUUUUUCAUUUAAAUGUACGCAGCCUGUUGUCAAAAAUGGAUGGGGUUAGGAUUUGGGCUAAAUCAACUGAUGCUGAUAUAAUUGUGUUUUCUGAAACCUGGCUCAGCAAGUCUGUUCUUGAUAUGGAUAUUUGUAUAACUGGUUACAAUGUUUAUCGCACUGAUCGGGUUAAGAAAGGUGGGGGUGUGGCUAUAUAUGUAAAAACGAAAUUCCCUGUAAGUGUGGCAAAGUCUGAAACUAUUUGUAAACAGUUGGAAUUUCUUGCUUUGAAUAUUGAGGUUUCUAAGGGUCUUUCUAUAACUGUGAUUGGCUGUUAUAGACCCCCCUCUGCUCUCGGUGAUGCAUUUUCUUAUUUGACGCACCUCAUGUCUAAACUUCUUUACAGUGAAAUGAUUUUGAUUGGUGAUCUCAACUGGUGUUGGUUAAUGCCGGUGUCUGAUGAUUUAAAAAUGUUUUGUAAUUCUAUGAAUCUUACCCAGUUGAUUAACUCACCCACUCGCCCUAAUCUAAAAUGCCCAGAUAAAUCUACCCUGAUAUUGACAAAUGUUCCACAUAAAUAUUCUGCGGUUGGUGUUUUUUGUAAUGAUUUAAGUGACCAUUGUGCUGUUGUUGCUAUUAGAAAUACUAAGAUUUCUAAGUCUAACCCGCGUUUUAUUCGUAAGAGAAAUCUGAAGUGUUUCAUUCUUUCAUGA